UUGGGCUCCUGGACGACUGGCACACGCAGGGAGGCACCUUCCUGCCCCAGUGUGGCCAAAGCCCACCUCUGCAGCCAGGGACCUUGUGCGCGGCCAUGACCCCUGGGCUGUCAGCAGGCUGCCCGCUUGGCCACCAUAGCUGGGGCCACGGCAGCAGG